GACGAACGCUGGCGGCGCGCUUAACACAUGCAAGUCGAGCGAAGCGGCGGACGGGUUAGUAACACGUGAGUAACCUGCCUUAGACAUUGGGAUAGCCUCGGGAAACCGGGAUUAAUACCAAAUGGUCUAAGAUGGACUCGCGUCCCAUUAGCUAGUUGGUGGGUAACGGCCCACCAAGGCGACGAUGGGUAGCCGGCCUGGGAGGGUGAGCGGCAACAUUGGAACGGGGAAACGGUCGAAACUAUACGGGAGGCAGCAGUGGGGAAUAUUGCACAAUGGAGGGAACUCUGAGGCAGCGACGCCGCGUGAACGAAGAAGGCUUUCGAGUCGUAAAGUUCUUUUAUAUGGGAAGCGGUACCAGAAGAAAAAGCCCCGGCUAACUACGUGCCAGCAGCCGCGGUAAUAC
rnacentral:rRNA from 1 species